UACGUAGGGUGCGAGCGUUAAUCGGAAUUACUGGGCGUAAAGUGUGCGCAGGCGGCACCGCAAGUCGAGUGUGAAAGCCCCGGGCUUAACUUGGGAAUUGCGCUCGAAACUAUGGUGCUGGAGUGUGGCAGAGGGAGGUGGAAUUCCAGGUGUAGCGGUGAAAUGCGUAGAGAUCUGGAGGAACACCGAUGGCGAAGGCAGCCUUCUGGGCCAACACUGACGCUCAUGCACGAAAGCGUGGGGAGCAAACAGG
rnacentral:rRNA from 1 species